rnacentral:misc_RNA from 1 species
UGUACUUUGCAACAGUUCUGAGAAGAGAGCUACGUGCUCUUCCAUUGCUGUUGUUUGUGAUGUGUAUCGUGUAUUGAGAAAAAUCUGUGAAUAUGCUCCAAUUACCUUUUGGAACUGUAAGAGAUAUAUUCUGGAAUUUUUAUUUUUAUUAUUAUUUUUUUUUGGGAUAAAGAGUUGAGAAGGAUCCUAUCAACAAAUUGGUUGAAGCCUGUAUCAUUGGGUGCUGAUGUGGAUGUUCCUAGCGUUGAUUGCAUUAUGGAAGACGGUUUCCACUGGAAAACGAAAACAAUGAGAAAGAUUAUUUAUUUAUUUUGGAACUUGUGGGCAUGUGAGUGUUUGGCCUAUGAAUCUUUCAAUAUUGUCUCCUCUCUCAUAAAAUUGUUU